rnacentral:rRNA from 1 species
UGAGACCUCAGGUCAGGCGGGGCUACCCGCUGAGUUUAAGCAUAUCAAUAA